rnacentral:lncRNA from 1 species
NNNNNNNNNNNNNNNGCAGGGGGUAUUUGGGUCUGAUAUGGCUAAGAACCAGCGGUCUAAAAAACUCAUAGAUCUAUACAUCUAAAAUAUUGAAUUUCACUGUAUGUAACUUUAAAAAUUCAAUGAAAAUACGGUGGUGGUGAACAUCCCUUCAACUUCCUUCUUAUAGAUGAGAAUUUCUCUAAUUCAGGGUUUCCUGGCACUACUGACAUUUUGAGCUGUAGAGUUCUUUGUGGUGGGAGGGCUGUUCUAUGCAUGGCAGGAUGGUGAGCUGCAUCCCUGGCCUCUACCCACUAGACACCACUAGCAUCUCCCCACCCAAGUUGUGAACCAAAAAUGUGUCCAUACAUUGUCAAAUGCACUCCGAGAUCAAAACAGUCUUUUGGAAGCCACUACCCCACCCUCUUGUGUACCAGGAUAUCUAGGUACAUAUUUACAUAAAUAUGAGUUUACAUCAUAAAUUUGUGUCAAAGCAGGCACAGAGCUCAGUUUUCCUGUUUAUCAGUAUAGUUAUUGUGAAGCAUGCUACACUACAACAGAAGAACGUAGUAAUACGUGAAUGCAUCAGUUAAUCACCAAAUAACCACCCAUAUAAUCACAGCCCAGGCCAAGAAGCCUCUCCCAUGACCUACCUUCUGUUUCAUUCUCUCCUUAAGCAGUGUCAAACAUGCUGCUAUACCCAUCCUGAGUUAUUUGUUAUGUUUUUCAGUUUUGGAAUCUCCAAACUGGUUCUUUUCUACAGUUUGCUCAACAUUUAAAUUUUACCUCUUGGAAUACUGUUGAUAACUCACAUGACUUGAGCACCUAUGGUUCUAUUUCUGUUGUCUUGUUUCCUCGGCUUUGUCUUAUUGUCCUCUUAUAUUGGUUGCUGUUGAACAAGUACCAUAUAUUGCAUGGAAAUAUUAGAUUGAUGACAAAGAUGUUAGUAUCCUGCAGAGAGACUGUUUGCUUCUGGCUGAUGACUGUGGGGUAUUAACGAUCCAGGUGGUUUAAAGGUGGGUUCUGUACUGGGAAGUCUUAUCUUUGUCAAGCUCCUUACUACACCGUAUCCCUGAGGGUCUCAAACCAGAGUGUGCAAGUUACCUACAACCCUCCAUGCUGCUACUGGACUUCAGUAUUUUUUUCAAACAGACUCACAAAUAUGUCAAAACAAACCUGACUUCUCACUCAGUGGCUCCUUCCAGAAUCUGUGGCAUAAGAAGC